CUGCACUGUAACAUAGUGCCAGGGAGUAAGAGGAAGAUAUAGUUUUAUAGAGCAAGAGCAAGAUACAUUCGUCACAGAGGAUGAAGGUUGAGGGCACCAAUUCCAAUCACGCAUGAUUUGGACCAAGACGUAGAAGACAAAAUAACAGAAGUUACU